rnacentral:rRNA from 1 species
GAAUUCGCCCUUAGAGUUUGAUCCUGGCUCAGGACGAACGCUGGCGGCGCGCCUAACACAUGCAAGUCGAACGAGCGAGAGAGAGCUUGCUUUCUCGAGCGAGUGGCGAACGGGUGAGUAACGCGUGAGGAACCUGCCUCAAAGAGGGGGGCAACAGUUGGAAACGACUGCUAAUACCGCAUAAGCCCACAGCUCGGCAUCGAGCAGAGGGAAAAGGAGCAAUCCGCUUUGAGAUGGCCUCGCGUCCGAUUAGCUAGUUGGUGAGGUAAUGGCCCACCAAGGCGACGAUCGGUAGCCGGGCUGAGAGGUUGAACGGCCACAUUGGGACUGAGACACGGCCCAGACUCCUACGGGAGGCAGCAGUGGGGAAUAUUGCACAAUGGGGGAAACCCUGAUGCAGCGACGCCGCGUGGAGGAAGAAGGUCUUCGGAUUGUAAACUCCUGUUGUUGAGGAAGAUAAUGACGGUACUCAACAAGGAAGUGACGGCUAACUACGUGCCAGCAGCCGCGGUAAAACGUAGGUCACAAGCGUUGUCCGGAAUUACUGGGUGUAAAAGGAGCGCAGGCGGGAAGACAAGUUGGAAGUGAAAUCCAUGGGCUCAACCCAUGAACUGCUUUCAAAACUGUUUUUCUUGAGUAGUGCAGAGGUAGGCGGAAUUCCCGGUGUAGCGGUGGAAUGCGUAGAUAUCGGGAGGAACACCAGUGGCGAAGGCGGCCUACUGGGCACCAACUGACGCUGAGGCUCGAAAGUGUGGGUAGCAAACAGGAUUAGAUACCCUGGUAGUCCACACUGUAAACGAUGAUUACUAGGUGUUGGAGGAUUGACCCCUUCAGUGCCGCAGUUAACACAAUAAGUAAUCCACCUGGGGAGUACGACCGCAAGGUUGAAACUCAAAGGAAUUGACGGGGGCCCGCACAAGCAGUGGAGUAUGUGGUUUAAUUCGACGCAACGCGAAGAACCUUACCAAGUCUUGACAUCCUGCGACGCACAUAGAAAUAUGUGUUUCCUUCGGGACGCAGAGACAGGUGGUGCAUGGUUGUCGUCAGCUCGUGUCGUGAGAUGUUGGGUUAAGUCCCGCAACGAGCGCAACCCUUAUCAUUAGUUGCUACGCAAGAGCACUCUAAUGAGACUGCCGUUGAUAAAACGGAGGAAGGUGGGGAUGACGUCAAAUCAUCAUGCCCCUUAUGACCUGGGCUACACACGUACUACAAUGGUGAUAAAACAGAGGGAAGCAACACAGCGAUGUGAAGCAAAUCCCGAAAAAUCAUCUCAGUUCAGAUUGCAGGCUGCAACUCGCCUGCAUGAAGUCGGAAUUGCUAGUAAUCGCGGAUCAGCAUGCCGCGGUGAAUACGUUCCCGGGCCUUGUACACACCGCCCGUCA